ACGCACGCUGGCGGCGUGCUUAACCCAUGCCAGUCGAACGGAAAGGCCCUGCUUUUGUGGGGUGCUCGAGUGGCGAACGGGUGAGUAACACGUGAGUAACCUGCCCUUGACUUUGGGAUAACUUCAGGAAACUGGGGCUAAUACCGGCUAGGAGCUCCUGCUGCAUGGUGGGGGUUGGAAAGUUUCGGCGGUUGGGGAUGGAUUCGCGGCUUAUCAGCUUGUUGGUGGGGUAGUGGCUUACCAAGGCAUUGACGGGUAGCCGGCCUGGGAGGGUGGCCGGCCACAUUGGGACUGGGGUACGGCCCAGACUCCUACGGGAGGCAACAGUGGGGAAGAUUGCACAAUGGGCGGGAGCCUGAUGCAGCAACGCCGCGUGCGGGAUGACGGCCUUCGGGUUGUAAACCGCUUUCGCCUGUGACGAAGCGUGAGUGACGGUAAUGGGUAAAGAAGCACCGGCUAACUACGUG
rnacentral:rRNA from 1 species